rnacentral:rRNA from 1 species
UACGUAGGUGGCAAGCGUUAUCCGGAAUUAUUGGGCGUAAAGCGCGCGCAGGUGGUUUCUUAAGUCUGAUGUGAAAGCCCACGGCUCAACCGUGGAGGGUCAUUGGAAACUGGGGGACUUGAGUGCAGAAGAGGAUAGUGGAAUUCCAAGUGUAGCGGUGAAAUGCGUAGAGAUUUGGAGGAACACCAGUGGCGAAGGCGACUGUCUGGUCUGUAACUGACACUGAGGCGCGAAAGCGUGGGGAGCAAACAGG